rnacentral:rRNA from 1 species
CCCUUAGAUGUUCUGGGCCGCACGCGUGCUACACUGAGUGGAUCAGCGGGUCAGGUUGCGCGAAAGCGUUUCCUAAUCUUUAAAUCCGCUCGUGAUGGGGAUUGACGGUUGCAAUUUUCUGUCAUGAACGAGGAAUACCUUGUAAGCGCGGGUCAUCAGCCCGCGCUGAAUACGUCCCUGCCCUUUGUACACACCGCCCGUCGCUCCUACCGAUUGAGUGGUCCGGUGAGGCUUUGGGAUCUGAGCGGAAAGAGCGUUUCGCUGUUUCUGCUCGGAAAACUCAGUCGAACCUUAUCAUUUAGAGGAAGGAGAAGUCGUAACA